GAGUGGUGAAAACAGGAGCUGGCAUGGGAGAAUUCAACGAUCCUGAAUCAGGAGGGGAGCUAUCAGGGGUAUUAGAAUUGACCAUCUUUACUGCUUGCACAUUCUUACGCUUUGUAAAUUAAUCAGGGGGAAAGCCAAUGAGGCGAUGACACUGUUCAUGCUUGUGACCUUUAAGCUUACAGUAAUCACAUGUCCUAUUGAAUUGACCACGACGAGCAACAAAAGCACUAAAAUAAUUUGAAAACAUAGCAGUAGAAUUCGAAAUGGGCAAGACGCUAGAUAAGUAGCUCCGCUGUGAUUCUUCUUGAACAGUCAUAGAAUACGCCUGAUUAACAGAUGGAAGCGAUUGCAUAAGGAGAAUCUGACUGCGAAUUGUAGAAUAUGUCUCAUUGAGUCCCAUUAAGAAUUGAAACAAGCGCUAUUGAAGAACAUGUUGCAAAUUCUGUUGUGAAUUCGCACAAUUGCAGGAAGAAAUUGGAACUAACGCAGCAUACUCGUCCCACAAAAGCUUGAGCCGCGUUAAGUAUGCAAAAUCAGAAGUUUCUCCCUAAGUAAGCAUAGCGAUAUCACAAUGGAGGAAAAAAAUCCGUGAACCAUCAAUCUUACUAAAACGUUCUCUCAAAUAUUGCCAAACAAGUGUUACACUCGAGGCAAAGUCUAAUCUUGCCGAAAGCUCAGUAUUGACAAUAUUGAGAAUCUAAGAAAGAACAAUUGCAUUACAGUGAUCCCAUUGGGAAUGAAGAGAAACAUCAAAAUCAUCUCUACCACAAUCUCCAUCGACAAACCCUAAUUUAUUCUUCACCAACAACAUGAUUCGCAUUGAAAACUCCAAAGGCUAUAAUUCUUGAGACCAGUUAGGUGGUGAGAAACAAGCAGACUUCUCGGCAUAUCAGAUGAAUGCAGUUAAAGAGGAUGUGUGAAAUUGAUGACUGUAGAAUCCAUGGCUGAGAGACAACGACGCCAUUAUUGAGAACGCAAAAAGAAAGAAAAUGAAACAAAUCAGAGGAAAACCCAAAAGCAAAACAGAAUGGCCCAAUAGCAAGGUCCAAUAAAAAACAACCAGGCCUUAUACGAACGAGUAACCCGCAAGGAAAAAAUAAUCAAGAUUGAAGAAAUCAGCCAUGGAGACCAAGAGAAAGAUCGAAACUUGGGACUGAUAGCAUGUCAAAGAUACAAUACUUGCCAUGUAAAGAAUGC
rnacentral:lncRNA from 1 species